GAUUGUGUAGCAUAAGUAGUAAUGCGUCAGACUGCAACUCUGAUGAAAACGGUGCAAGUCCGUUCACAAUCUCCA
rnacentral:tRNA from 1 species